rnacentral:rRNA from 1 species
AGUUGUAAUUUGUAGAAGAUGCUUCGGGUGUGGUUCCGGUCUAAGUUCCUUGGAACAGGACGUCAUAGAGGGUGAGAAUCCCGUAUGUGACCGGCUACCUUCGCUCAUGUGAAGCUCUUUCGAC